CGGAGUGGACACACCUCUGGUGUACCGGUUGUCACGCCAGUGGCAUCGCCGGGUAGCUAAGUGUGGAAGAGAUAACCGCUGAAAGCAUCUAAGCGGGAAACUCGUUUCAAGAUGAGAUCUGCCGGGGCCUUGAGCCCCCUGAAGAGUCGUUCUAGACCAGGACGUUGAUAGGCUGGGUGUGGAAGCGCAGUAAUGCGUUAAGCUAACCAGUACUAAUUGCUCGUGCGGCUUGACCCU
rnacentral:rRNA from 1 species